rnacentral:rRNA from 1 species
GAUGAACGCUGGCGGCGUGCCUAAUACAUGCAAGUCGAGCGAACGGACGAGAAGCUUGCUUCUCUGAUGUUAGCGGCGGACGGGUGAGUAACACGUGGAUAACCUACCUAUAAGACUGGGAUAACUUCGGGAAACCGGAGCUAAUACCGGAUAAUAUUUUGAACCGCAUGGUUCAAAAGUGAAAGACGGUCUUGCUGUCACUUAUAGAUGGAUCCGCGCUGCAUUAGCUAGUUGGUAAGGUAACGGCUUACCAAGGCAACGAUGCAUAGCCGACCUGAGAGGGUGAUCGGCCACACUGGAACUGAGACGCGGUCCAGACUCCUACGGGAGGCAGCAGUAGGGAAUCUUCCGCAAUGGGCGAAAGCCUGACGGAGCAACGCCGCGUGAGUGAUGAAGGUCUUCGGAUCGUAAAACUCUGUUAUUAGGGAGGAACAUAUGUGUAAGUAACUGUGCACAUCUUGACGGUACCUAAUCAGAAAGCCACGGCUAACUACGUG